UACGUAGGGUGCAAGCGUUGUCCGGAAUUAUUGGGCGUAAAGAGCUUGUAGGCGGUUUGUCGCGUCUGCUGUGAAAUUUCGGGGCUCAACCCCGAACUUGCAGUGGGUACGGGCAGACUAGAGUGUGGUAGGGGAGACUGAAUUCCUGGUGUAGCGGUGAAAUGCGCAGAUAUCAGAAGGAACACCAAUGGCGAAGGCAGCUCGCUGGGGACGGUACCGACGCUGAGGCGCGAAAGCGUGGGGAGCAAACAGG
rnacentral:rRNA from 1 species